AUCUUGAAUGUCUAUGAAAUCCUCUGGAUUUCCUGUUAAUGUUUGGUGUUAUUUCUACUGACGUUAUGGAUAGUUUUUGAGGUGACAUCAGUGUGCAAAACAGGACAGCCUGGGCUGUGGCUGAAACUCUCCUGACCCAGGAACUCGCCUGCUUGGCUCCUGUUCCUGAGAGCUGAUGACAGCCAGCAGAAAAACUCCUUCCAUAAGCACCUGCUCCCACUCCAGGGCUCUGCUGGAGGAGGGCACGGGGACUUCCUCCUGCAGCAUUUAUCCAGAAAAAGUUACCUGAGAAUUCGAAUUCCAGAGAAAAUGGUGAUUUAAAUUCAGAAGACCAUCAAAUGAAUAAUUUUAACAGAUUCUCAGCUCUUCUUAAACAGAUGACUGUGUGUUUGCAACUGAAUGUUUGAUAAAUGAAAAGAGACGAAAUGUUCUACUUUUCAGCACAUUUUUACCCACAGCUGGUGCACAGACUGAGACUCAGUGUAUGUUGCUUUAGCCGUGAUUUUUCAACUUGAGGUUUACUAUAUUUAGCUCCACGUAUAUUUAGAACUGAUGGAAGUAAAUUUCCUUAACUUUGGGAAAUGGUGCUGAGCUGGACUUUGGUCCAGCUGAAAAAUAUCAGGGUUGCUCCUUGAUUUCAUGAUUCUGGGAAUUACCAGCUCCAGGGAUCCCAUCUGAACACUGUGAGAGGUUUGAGUGUAUUUGCACCAGGAAUGUGGUUGUUUAUUGGGAUCGCGCGGGUUUGAGGAAUAUUGUACACAUCUGGGAAAAAUAAGGAUACCUGGGGAUUUGCUGAAGCAUUUUCACUAACAGUUAACGUGUGAGAAAGUGUUUAAAUUGGCAGAAAGCUCGGGUGUGUAUUUUUCUAAAGGUCUGUUUGCCUGAGAGGUCUGAUAAUAAAAAUCCAUUCCGUAUUCCCACUCCUGCCCAGGAGGUGUGGCCGUGCUCACACUCCUGCCCAAACAUUCCAUGAGGAAUUCCCAGCACUCUUCAUUCUGUGUGGAUGCUUUAUGCAUUCCUUGGUGAACACAUCCUUAGCUCUCACAGCCAUCAUUUACCAGCACAUCCUGCUGAUAACUUUGGGGCUGGGCAGAAGUUUUUCCAAAAAUAUGGGACAAAAUUUAAGUGUUCCAAAAACGAGUUAAGACUCAAAAAACAGGUGGAAUUUUGUGCCAUGGUUUAAUUGACAAGGUGGUAUCCAGCUGAAGGUUGGACACGACCUUGGAGACCUUUCCCAACCUCAGUGAUUGUUAGAUUUCCAUGUACUGCUUGUGUUCUACCACUGAUAUUGACAUUGGUAACUUCUCUCAGUUUGUUAAAUGCUGUGCAAGUUCCAGUUUAGGAAAAUGUUAUGAUAAAGCUGUUGAAUAAAAAUGCAA